UUUAAAGUGUAAUGUAAGUCGCUUUGGAUAAAAGCGUCUGCUAAAUGUAAUGUG
rfam:Gasterosteus aculeatus cont1.004463, whole genome shotgun sequence.